ACGCUCGACACCUACGGGACAGCAGUAGGGAAUCUUCCACAAUGGGCGCAAGCCUGAUGGAGCAACACCGCGUGAGUGAAGAAGGGUUUCGGCUCGUAAAGCUCUGUUGUUGGAGAAGAACGUGCGUGAGAGUAACUGUUCACGCAGUGACGGUAUCCAACCAGAAAGUCACGGCUAACUACGUGCAAGCAGCCGCGGUAAUCUGAGCGGGCUGGCAAGGC
rnacentral:rRNA from 1 species